GUGUCAGUAGCCGCGGUAAUACGUAGGUCCCGAACGUUGCGCGAAUUUACUGGGCGUAAAGGGUCCGUAGGCGGUCUGGUAAGUGGAAGGUGAAAUCCUGGGGCUCAACUCCAGAAUUGCCUUCCAAACUGCCGGACUUGAGGCAGGGAGAGGUCGGCGGAAUUCCCGGUGUCGAGGUGAAAUGCGUAGAUAUCGGGAGGAACAACAGUGGCGAAGGCGGCCGACUGGAACUGACCGGACGCUGAGGGACGAAAGCCAGGGGAGCGAACCGGAUUAGAUACCCGGGUAGUCCUGGCCGUAAACGAUGGAUGCUAGAUGUGGGCGGGGAGACCCGUCCGUGUCGCAAGCUAACGCGUUAAGCAUCCCGCCUGGGGAGUACGGCCGCAAGGUUGAAACUUAAAGGAAUUGACGGGG
rnacentral:rRNA from 1 species